UUCUUUUCCAGAGAUCACGCUGGGAUUUGGCAGAUAUGGAUCGCCAGAGAAGUUCCAUCUUAGAGCAAAGAGACUGGAUCUGAGCGAUAUCUUGCCUUACUGCAUCAAACGGUUGUUCUGAAGGAUCUGUCACGACAGCACUCGAAGAUGAAGAUGAAGACGACGACGAAGUGUACUCGAAACGCUCGAGCCUCUCCAAACCAUCUCGAGACUUGAGUAAGAGCCGUCUCGAGCUUUGGUAAAGUUCCGAUAAGGUUCCACCCCCGGCACCGGAAUUCCCUUCUCCGAUCCCAACCGCCGUUGCCAUAGUUCACGUAUCUUCUGAGAGCUUCAACUUUG
rnacentral:misc_RNA from 1 species